AUAUUUUUACCAGAGUUAGCUUUUAGAAACGUGUUUUUUUUCGAAUUAAGCAAUGUGUGUGGCUAAAAUUGUGAAUACAAUACCUUAAAUUUGAGUUUGAAAAUGCAUACACGACCGAAGAAACAUAUAAGCUGCUAAAAUAAAUCUUCCCUAGAACUGUUGUACAAAAAAGAUAGAAGUUCCAGCAACAAAUUUAUCACCAGUUCAACCUUUGAUUUGAUGUAAACAGUAAUUGUUUCUUGAUGAGAAAUGCGAAUGAAAUAGUUUAUGGUGUGAUUGUGUUAGUGUUUUAUUAAUAGUUUUGUUGAUGCAGUUUAAAGGUUCAUAGUUUUUCAUUAAAACAUUUGAAAUUGACAUGUUUACAUGCAGUUUAGUGUGAUACCAUUUUAAUAAACAUUAAAAUCUUUCGAACUAGUAGUGGUUUUAUGGCGAUUGACAGAUUGAAUAACGAAAAU